CUUUUUUCCAGAAUACAAAGAGAAUAAUAGAAUAUCAAUAUUUGAGUAUACAAUUGUAGUUGCAAAGCCUGAUUUAUCUUCAUCAUCAACGAAUCCAAAUACUUUCACAAUUAAUGACGUUAAACAAUGGCUGACCUUACAGAAAUUAGAAAAGUAAGUCAUAUUUCAUUGCAGGUUUUUUUCAUCGUCAUGACCACACAUACUGCUUACUAAUAUUUUAAGCUGGUUAGAUAUAACUGUCGCACUUCUACUAAUCUUAAUUUUUCUAUAAGUGACAUUUUGUUUUUGAAAUAAGUUAAAUUAUAAUAUAUAAUUGCCUUCAACGUGAGUAAAUACGUACAUCGACUUUAUAUGAACUUUGAAGGAUAGUUAUCUCAUUGAAAACAAUCCACAUUUCCUUAUUUUUAUAUGAACAUGUAUAGGAAAGAAGAUAUUGUCCACGUCUACGAUAAUCAACAAAGAUAGCAGGAUUAAAUCAGAGCAGUAGAAAUACAAAAAGUUACCAUCAAAUCCACAGUUGACCAUGCGUUACUAAGAAGGGACCCGCCAUUUUUAAUUGAUUACUGAUAUUUUUGAAAAUAAAACAAGAACUACCUCGAAUUAGGAGUUUUAAUGUAAUUUUAUUCUAAUUUGAAUCGUAGAUGUACCGUUAUAACCUCCGGUUGAAAGUUUUCAUUUGUAUGACGUCACGUUUAGCCUUGACGUCUUUGCGCUAAAAUUAUUCAUAAAAUUUGCCGAUUUUUUUUUGUAUGUCAAAUUUAUACAUUAUGUCAAGCUUUAAUGUACAAAAUGUAUUAUUUCUUUUAGUAAUGCAUAAGAAUCGGAAUAACAGUACUGUAGUUGUAGAGUUACCACCGUCAAUUUUAAUUUGACGGUCUUAAAUUUACGUUUUACUGUCAGUCAAAUCAAGUCAGGAAUAUGACAAUUCUUAUCCAUUCGUUCUAUGUCUUAAUGAUUUUGCCAUUUGAUUAGGUACAAAUGUACUUUCGUUUUGAAUUUUCCUCUGAGUUCAGUUUUUGUUUUUGUGAUUUUACUUUUUUUUUUAAAUACAGGCACCACACAGAUUUAUGUUGCACAAUGUGAAAUAUUUUUGAAGAAUUCAUGUGUAAUGUUAAAUAAAAAUGUUUACUUGCAUUGGUUGGCGAUAUUAUUAUUAACGUUUUCUUAUUGGUUUUUCGGUGAUAAUCAUUACAUCAUACAAUUCCCUGACCAUUUCUAUCUUGUGACCGAUUUCAAAGGAAUUAGUAUAUAAGAUAACCAAUAAGUAUGGAAAUCGAAUAACAAAUAUGCAAAUUAGUUGUUCCCAAGCUCACCAGACAGCUUAAACCACAAACUAAAUCAUUAUACAACUGUUUUUAAUUGAGUUUGAUUGGAUUUGUUUAACUGGUUUUACUGUGUAUUAUUUGCCUAGAAUAAAGUGUAGCUUUGUCGACAUUAUUAUAUUUUGACUAUAACUAUGAGUUGUUUAAUUAUUUUUUUACAAAGAUAUAUUUGGUUUGAAGAGAGUCAGAACUAUUUGGAAAAUUGGUGAAAUCAACUUUUCGUAAAAAGUGUUGUUAUGUUUAUAAAAGAUGGUUUUAUUGGUCAUUUUCGAUGCACAUCAUUAUCAAUAACGUUGCAAGAAUCAGAAUAAGGGACUGCCUAAUCUUAUACAAACUUUAUGAGAACAUAACCAACAAUUCUACAUAUAUGCCUAUCGAUAAAUGGUAGAGAAACAUAAAUGUUUUGAAUAUCAUUUUAUGACUACAUACUUACCUGAACAUUCCGUUAAAAAUCUCAGUUAUAAUUUGAUAAUAACUUCUGGUCAACCUUACUUUUCAUUUAUAUAUUUAAAUUGAUUUAUCAUUCGACGAAAUAUAAUGAUUUAAAUUAAAAAUAUACUUAGAGCUUCUGAAUUUUAUUUUGCUUUUUUCUCUAUUCGUUGCACUAGUAUCAUUUUAAAACGUUUUCAGGUUUCUCAUGAACGUUGCAUAUGUAUAUGUAUACAAUAGAAAAUGUUUUUUUUCUGCAAUGCUACUAAGCUUUGUUAUUGAUUUAGAUCUUCAAAUUGUUGAUUCCGAUGCCAUUGUAAAUUUUAUCUGCAAUAAGAUGCACGGAUUUGGUGAGUUUUAUUAUAUACCAGGUAUCUUUAAUAAGUUUUAUUACAGCGUGAGAGGUAAUUAUUCCAACGGGAAAAAUCAUUAUUUCGAUAUUGAGAAACGAAAGCAUGACUCAAAAUGAAGCCUAGCUGGUGUUUAAAAAGUAUCAAUAUAUUCAGUUAGCAAAGUAUUUUUGUAGUUGCUGUCAUCAUUUCGAAGACGUAAAUGGGAAAGGACUUUUACAACUCAAGAGUAUGCGACAUGAUGUGAGUAAAGUAUAAAUAAUAGCAAAAAUACUGAACUCCAAGAAAAAUCACAACGGCAAAAUCAAAAGAUCAAUCACAUCAAAUGAUUGAAAACACAACUGUUAUAUUCAUUACUUGAGUAAAGAUAAAACGCAAGAUGCUAAAUCUGAAAUAUCCUGUAUCAAGUAAUAAAUACUAAAAAGAAACAGCAUCAGAAAUAAUCCACAGAAUCAACAUCCUUCAUAAUUGAAAAAGCCGAGAUAAGUCUGAAGUUUUAAUGCAAUACUCCAACAGUUUGGUAGUAUUCCGUGCAGAAUAAUGCUGAAUCGAGAUAAAUUAUGUGAAAAACAGUUGAUAUUGAACUGAUACUCUUUUACUCAUACGGAUCGCGGUAUUCUUUGAUAGUUUUCUUUUAUAUUGGACUUGUUAUUGACCCGUCUAGUAAUAACAUUAACUUGUUUGGAAUGGCAGUGGUCAUUUCACAGUCUUCGCAUUCCUGCUCCUUUCGUAUACUAGUACAUGAAAACAAUGAUUUCAACUUUUUGAUGCAUGUGUCAUUGUCAAUAUAUAUAAAUGUAUGUACCUUUAUCUUACAGGCACCAGAGUUUUAUUUUAAAACACUGAGCAGGAAGCUCAAACUCAGUCUUGGUGAAAUACUCAACUUUUCUGCAGCUUUAGACGAAUUAUAAGACGAAGUCAAUCAAAAAUGACGAAAUGUCUAAAAUAUUUAAGAAUAUUCAGCAUCCAUAUACACAAAUUAUCCUAAUAUUGCAGUUUUUGAACACAUAAAAAAUGAUGGCAAAAGAGCUCCAGAACCAG
rnacentral:lncRNA from 1 species